AUCCUGGACGAACCCACCUGUGUAGCAGACCGCAAAUUUUGAAAUUCCAGAGAACCGCGUGACGUGAGUUGACGAUGGAUAUGGUGAAGAAGUUUACUUUAGCAAAAAGACGGCAUUGUUUUAUGAUUAUAUUGUAAACUUGUGAUACGUAUCAACAAAACCACUAAGUACAUGGAUAGUAUGUGCUUCAGAGUUCUUGCAGCCAUUUUCACCUAAUAUUCUUGACACGCCACUUGUGUAGACAUUACCACGCCAGAGUGACGGCGGAUAUAGUCAACAGGCAGUAUUCUAGCAGAAACGAUAGUUCUUAUCAAUGCAGUUCAACAGAAGCACGCUCAACUCCACACGUUUCAAGGUACAGUCUUUGAUCUUGUAUCUGUCAUCGACAAAACAAUACUAGAUAUAAAUGGAUAGUACAUGCUUCAGCCUUCUUGCAGCCAUUUUCACUUAAUAUUCAGGAAGCACCACCUGUGUAGACAUUGCAAUGCAAGAGUGACAACGUGAAAUAACGGCAGAUAUAGUAAAUAGGCAGUAUUCCAGCAGAAACCUCAAUAAUUUGAUGUGUUCAUAGGUAUUUCCAUGAUGUAUAUCAACAAGACUAC